AGAAAGUUUUAUUCUUGCUUAAUUAUUCACGUCAUUUUUGUUUUACAUGUAAGUUUUAGGGCGUGUGGUGUAUGAAGUUUCUUAAAGGAGUAUUUCAUAAGUGAAGGUUAUUCGCAGUAUUCAGUUUUAUAAAUUAAGGUGACUUAGAUUUAGCAAAUUUGUUAAGUAUCGGCAAAAGUCGUGCCAGCCGCCGCGGUUACACGAAGGAUGCGAGUGAAUAUUAUUGGUUGGUAAUUAAAUUGGUUAAAUGAGAAUUGAUUAUUAAGUAUUUUUGGGUGAAAUUUUAAACUUAAGUUAUUUUCUGCUAUAUUUGUUGAAGUUGUGAAAUUUAAAUAUUAAACUAGGAUUAGAUACCCUAUUAUUUUAAAUGUAAAAAUUAAAGGCCUGAGUAGUAAUAGAUAUGUUCUUGAAACUCAAAGAAUUUGGCGGUGCUUUAGUCCUUUCAGAGGAACCUGCCCCGUAAUCGAUAUUCCACGUUGAAUCUUACUUGGUUUGGCGUAUCAGCUUGUAUACCGCCGUCGUCAGAAUGUCCUUUUAGGGUAAAAAUUUUCAUGGAUUCAAGAUUUAAUAAAAAGGAUGUCAGGUCAAGGUGCAGCUUAUGACUAAGAGGAGGUGGGUUACAUUAAGUGUAUUUAUAUGGAUAUUGAUUUGAAAAUUUUAAGUUGUUUGAAGGUGGAUUUGAUUGUAAUUGUAUAGAUUAAGUUAUUUUGAUUGUUGGCUCUAAAGCAUGCACACAUCGCCCGUCGCUCUCGUUAUUUAAGGCGAGAUAAGUCGUAACAUAGUAGAUGUACCGGAAGGUGUAUCUGGAAAGAUU
rnacentral:ncRNA from 1 species